GAAUCCGAACAAAUUAUGUAGAUGGAUAGAAAAUAGAUGGGGAAGACAAGAAAUAGAGGUCGUGUAUCUGUGCUGCUAUCGAAAAAUAUUUUCACAGUCGAUUUAUUUGCAAUUCCUCUUUAAUUUCAUUCCAAUUUCUUUCCUCGUGGAAUACCUACAUAAAAAUAUUUGUACGUAGAAACACUUUCGAAUAAAUAUUUUGUGUACAAUUAUUUUUAUAGCUUUUCCGAAAAUUGAUUAUGCUUGAGUCUGUGGAUACUUUUUUGUCUCUUUUUUUUCUCUCGUUUGCCCAUUAGAAAGGUUCUUCUAUAUACUUUGCCGUACACACAAUAGAGUACAAACAAAAAAUUACACAAUAAAAUAUAUAAUUAUACGAUAUUUUGUUUCAUGAGAAUGCAGAUUCUUUAUAAGGCAUUUAAGUAAGCAUGCAUCAUAGAUGGAUAAAGAUAUAUUUAUUAGCCUUCUGAUCUAUUCAUGGAAAAGACACGAAAGGGUGGUACAAAUAUAACUCUAUUUACAGGGUGCAGAAAUAAAACUUGGAAUUAUUUAUCAUUUUUAUUGUUUGGAAAAAUGUGGCAUAUAGAAACGUUUUUAGGCACAAAUUACUUUUAUAAAACAUAUAGAAGAAUCUAUUUAAUUUCAUAUAUUCCCCUUUUUCUUCAAUGACAACCUCCACAAGAGGUCUGAAGAUUAAGCACCUGUUAAUGAUGAACUGGUCAUAAAGGUUGUCCUACUCGUUGAGGAAUUCGGGAUUUAGGAGUGAGAGGUCCUAUUGGUAUGGGGCUCCAAAACGCCCCACGCACCGCAAUCUAAUGGAUUAAUAACGGGAUUUUUCUGGCAACAAGUUAGGAAGCCAGAAAUUGAUCAUAUUCUAGACAUUACCUGCAUCCAGGAUCUCUCUGAUGUUGUAGACUGUAAUCAAGGACAUACCAACAAUGCCUUUAGCCCUUAUUGCGGCCAUUUGUGGCUGGAGAAAAUCAAAAACAUGUUGUUGUUUGUUUUUUGUUCUUGUUCCCGGACUUUCCAGUUUAUGUGAGAAUCAUGGGCAUAAACAAAAAACUGAAAAUCGGAACUUCAAUUUUCUUUUUAAACAACCUCCCAUGAUGAAUAUUAACGGAGAUUCUAAUUAAGUUCCAAGUUUUGGUUCCGCACCUGGUAUGAGUCCGUUUACACAAAAACUAACUAUGAUUAUCUACAAAUUGUCCUGAUUAAUUCUUUGAAGGCAAGCUAAUUGUAAUUUAUGCGGCACAAAUUCAUAUUUGUGAAAGUCAAAUAAUUAUAAAUAUAUAGAUUUUAUAUACUAUGAAUGAUUAAAAUAUGGCAAUGAAAUAUUGGGUAGUAUAUAUUGUAGUACAAGGAAGUAAAAAAUAAAUUGGCCAUUCUAUUUUUCUUUAUUUUUGUUAAGAGUGUUUUUGUGAUAACUCACUACAUAUAUACAUCAUUUAUAUAUACUUUAAAAUAACUUGUAAUUGAUUGUUUUUAAUUUGUAUCGAGAUAUCACGUCCAUAGACAUAGUUAUGACGACUAGAAUCCGAUUUA
rnacentral:lncRNA from 1 species